rnacentral:lncRNA from 10 species
CUUUCUAAAGCUCUGAUCAGUCAAGAAGGGGGUUGUAUCAAUCCUCAGAACCCUGAGUGGAACUUUCUACAGGAUUUAUUAGGAGAAAAACCUUCCCGGAAGCUGCAGAAGGACAAAUACAGAAUCCGUGUCUGGGAGAAACCUCGUGGCCUGGUCUCCAUUAUUUGAGAUGAGUUACAUCUUGGAGGUGAGGACGUGCCUCGUGGUCUAAAGCUUCGGCACAAGGGCCCAACUGGAAUUCCACUUACGGACGGAGUCUCCUUCUGUCGCCCAGGCUGGAGUGCAGUGGCGAGAUCUCGGCUCACUGCAAGCUCCGCCUCCCGGGUUCACGCCAUUCUCCUGCCUCAGCCUCCCGAGUAGCUGGGACUACAGGCACCCGCCCACCACGCCCGGCUAAGUUUUUGUAUUUUUAGUAGAGACGAGGUUUCACCAUGUUAGCCAGGAUGGUUUCGAUCUCCUGACCUCGUGAUCCGCCCGCCUUGGCCUCCCAAAGUGCUGGGAUUACAGGCGUGAGCCGCCGCGCCCAGCCCCAGGCGGAAAUUAUUUCAACUGGGUCCUGAGAACUGGGCACUUUUCAAGGAUUGUCAGCAAGGAGCAACUUCCCAAAUAUACAUCUAAAAAGAUGACAAACUCAUGUGGAAUGUGGAUUUAAGGAGGAAGGCCUGAUCUUUUGGCCAGAAGGAGAUUAAAAAGAUGCCCCUCAAGAUGGCUGUGCCUGUCAGCUGCAUGGAGCUUCGUUCAAGUAUUUUCUGAGCCUGAUGGAUUUACAGUGAUCUUCAGUGGUCUGGGGAAUAACGCUGGUGGAACCAUGCACUGGAAUGACACACGCCCGGCACAUUUCAGGAUACUAAAAGUGGUUUUAAGGGAGGCUGUGGCUGAAUGCCUCAUGGAUUCUUACAGCUUGGAUGUCCAUGGGGGACGAAGGACUGCAGCUGGCUGAGAGGGUUGAGAUCUCUGUUUACUUAGAUCUCUGCCAACUUCCUUUGGGUCUCCCUAUGGAAUGUAAGACCCCGACUCUUCCUGGUGAAGCAUCUGAUGCACGUUCCAUCCGGCGC